rnacentral:rRNA from 1 species
UACGUAGGGCGCAAGCGUUGUCCGGAAUUAUUGGGCGUAAAGAGCUCGUAGGCGGUUUGUCGCGUCUGCUGUGAAAACCUCAGGCUCAACCUGGGGCUUGCAGUGGGUACGGGCAGACUAGAGUGCGGUGGGGGAGACUGGAAUUCCUGGUGUAGCGGUGAAAUGCGCAGAUAUCAGGAGGAACACCGGUGGCGAAGGCGGGUCUCUGGGCCGAUACUGACGCUGAGGAGCGAAAGCAUGGGUAGCGAACAGG